AUGUAAUAUUGCGGUAAAUACAGAAAUUGACAUAUUGCCGUUGGAAGUACACGUUGACUUCCGGGUGUUGCCGUUAGAAUGGAACAUGUAGACAUGCCGUUCACACCUUGUGAAUAGUAAAAGAAUGCGGAUCGCUUUUCUAGCUGUGAUAUAUCUGGGAUCACUAUUGUUUUUAUCAUACUGUGGAAACGAUCCUGCAAUCAAAGGAUAUGCCAAACGGAUAGAAAAGUUAAAACCACCCCCGCCUCCGCCUCGUCCAACAAGUGAUGAUAAAAGAGAAUGGGAAGCCUACUGCAAUUACCGUGAUCAACACCAAAGACCACUUGCUGAUUUUGAAUGUCAAAUGAGAAGUGCUAACAGUCAAAAAUUCUGAAAAAGGUCAUCGAUUAACUUGCUUUAAAGAGGUGGUAGCUGACCCGGAUGAAGAAUCGGAGCGGAUCUGUGAGCUCUCAUAGGAACCAAUAUGCGAUUGCAUUUACCCGAAACUGGUUUAGAUAGUGUUCUUCUGAUAUAUGACAGCCAAUAUUUAUUUCUUUUUUUACAUAUUGUUAUUGUUUUAUGAUUAAAAAUUACAAAUAAUAAAACUAAUAAUUGCUGA